CAGCAGAUUUCUGUACUGAGCCAUUGUCUUCACAGAAGGCAUUCCGUUUUUUAACUUGCCUGUUUAAUCUGCCAAAUGUAGGCUUCAGACCCGCUUUUCAUUUUAGACAGUUUGUUGUUAAGCAUAAAAUUCUCUCAUAAUGAAAAAAUAUGUGCUCCUCUGUCUCUGCUCUUUUGUGUGUGAGUGUGUGUGUUGGCAAGCAUGCACUUGGCCAAUCAUAUCAAAUCCCUCCAGGUAUGUGUGUGUGUGUGUGUGCGCAUCUGGUAUUGUGUGUGAUUGUAAAGAUGCAUCUUGAGCAUUCACGUAAGACACUGACUUAAACUCAAACAUUCACAUCCGUUUAAGGGGAAAUCAGGAGCACUUGAGGGCUCCUUGAAGGCAGAAACCCCAAGACCACUACAUCAGCAGAACAGUAGCUUGCUCUGAAAGCAUUUGAUGUUUUCCUUUUUUUUUAACUUAUGUAGUUUUUGCUUAAUUAUAGUUUUGUUGUCGUUUCCCAUAACCUUGACCACAAUUAUUUGACUGAAGUUUUUCUUAAAUAAAUGCAAGCUCUCCAAUGAAAAUGUUUACAGUAUGUAAACGCCAUUUGUUACACUAAUGUCCUUCAGCAUGUCGGCUCACAUAGAUCAUUUCCUCCCCCUGCUAAUUUUUUUUUUUUUUUUUAAAGCUAAUUUUUUUGUGUCAUCUUUUUAAACUUGUUGUACAGGAGAUGGCCUUUGGCUUCCGUUCACUUUAAACAGGAUGACUGGAUUCUUUGUGUGAAUUUACAGAUUUCUUUGUUUUUUUGCUGGGAUACACCAGGUGUUCCCACGGCGAUACAGAAACACGUUGCUCAGACUGUUCCUGAGGAAACUGAUGCCAAGCCAGGCGUUUCUGCUGUGCUUUGCUAACUUAUGUUCUCUGUGUACCCUGGGAACUCUUGUAUUUUCUUGAAAGACUUUUCAUUAAAUAAACUAAGUAAUUUACAUGGUUUCUCUCCGCUGUCUGUUUUAUCAAAUGAAUGCAGAAUGUCUCUCUC
ensembl:lncRNA